rnacentral:misc_RNA from 1 species
CCUUCUUCGCUAACCAGAUAAAACCACCUGUACAUAGUUACUAUGCCUGUCUUAACUCUCUUCUUCUUUCUUUCCUUUCUCAAAAUAUGUCUUACACUUCAAUUCUGCGAGGAUUUCUGUAGUCCUAUUAGCCCGGAGGUUCGAUUCCCUUUCGGGCUUGACGGCGAUGGAUGCGGCUACCCAGGUUUCAAUCUUUCCUGCAAUGAAAGAGGCCAAACAAUCCUUAAUCUCCCUCGCUCCGGCAACUUCAUCGUCCAAUCCAUCGAUUAUCAAAUUCAAGAGAUUCGCAUUACAGACCCUGGAAACUGCUUCGCAGAGCGCCUCCUCCACAAUUUUAGUCUCUCGGGAUCACCUUUCAGUACAGAGCUUAAUCGCGCCUUCUCGUUUCUUAAUUGUUCAUCGAAUUUUUCCAUCUCCGC